UAAUUUAGAUGUGCUCUAUUUUAACCUUU
rnacentral:piRNA from 1 species